rnacentral:rRNA from 1 species
UACGAAGGGGGCUAGCGUUGCUCGGAAUGACUGGGCGUAAAGGGCGCGUAGGCGGAUGGCACAGUCAGAUGUGAAAUUCCCGGGCUUAACCUGGGGGCUGCAUUUGAUACGUGUUGUCUUGAGUUCGGAAGAGGGUCGUGGAAUUCCCAGUGUAGAGGUGAAAUUCGUAGAUAUUGGGAAGAACACCAGUGGCGAAGGCGGCUCACUGGCUCGUAUCUGACGCUCAGGCGCGAUAGCGUGGGGAUCAAACAGG